rnacentral:rRNA from 1 species
UACGUAGGCAGCGAGCGUUGUUCGGAGUUACUGGGCGUAAAGCGUGCGCAGGCGGCUUCUCAAGUCAGGGGUGAAAGCCCAGAGCUCAACUCUGGAAUUGCCUUUGAGACUGAGUGGCUUGAGUACGAGAGAGGUGAGUGGAAUUCCCAGUGUAGAGGUGAAAUUCGUAGAUAUUGGGAAGAACACCGGUGGCGAAGGCGGCUCACUGGCUCGUAACUGACGCUCAUGCACGACAGCGUGGGGAUCAAACAGG